CCUUCAGAGUGUAACUGAAACGCGGCUCUUCUCGGAUCUCAAGCCGCUGGGUUCCCGACCGGAAGUCACGCCAUCUGCUCUCGCGUUGUCCAGUUUAACGCGGACACAGAUUUUGGGACUUCUCGGUCUCCAUACUCCUGUGAGCCAAUUCAGAGAUUUGCGGUCAGCAACCUGGAGAACCGUGGAGCGGAUGGUCUAACUUCCGGUCGGAAACGCAGCAGGGUUGAGAUCUGAGAAGAACCGUUUAUUCAGUUCCACUCUGAAGUUUUCACUUCUUCUCAGUCUACAUAAUUUGGCUGAGUCCUCAAAUAAAAAAUUGACGCUCACAACCAGAAGGACCCACAACGAGAAUAUACAACUAUGUACUAAGGGGCUUUGGGGAGAAGAGGAAGAAAAAAAAUUAAUGAGUAGAACCACCACCUAGAGAGAAUUGUGAUGCUCAACAUUACAUAACUCCUUAGAGCUAGAUCUGGAACUAGAGUUUUUUCAAGUUGUACUUUUAUCUCAGACAAAUAAAUAUUGAAAUUAUUUAAUUCA
rnacentral:lncRNA from 1 species